UACAGGGGGCUCGAGCGUUAGUCGGAAUCACUGGGCUUAAAGGGUGCGUAGGUGGCUCAUUAAGUGUUUUGUGAAAUCCCACAGCUCAACUGUGGAACAGCAGGGCAAACUGAUGAGCUUGAGGCAGGUAGGGGCCGGAAGAACAGUUGGUGGAGCGGUGAAAUGCGUAGAUAUCAACUGGAAUGCCGAUGGGGAAGCCGUCCGGCUGGGCCGUGUCCUGACACUGAGGCACGAAAGCGUGGGGAGCAAACAGG
rnacentral:rRNA from 1 species